rnacentral:rRNA from 1 species
CCUACGGGGGGCUGCAGUGGGGAAUAUUGGACAAUGGGCGAAAGCCUGAUCCAGCCAUGCCGCGUGUGUGAAGAAGGCCUUCGGGUUGUAAAGCACUUUCAGUGGGGAAGAAAGCCUUGGGGCUAAUACCCUCGAGGAAGGACAUCACCCACAGAAGAAGCACCGGCUAACUCCGUGCCAGCAGCCGCGGUAAUACGGAGGGUGCGAGCGUUAAUCGGAAUUACUGGGCGUAAAGCGCGCGUAGGCGGUCUGAUAAGCCGGUUGUGAAAGCCCCGGGCUCAACCUGGGAACGGCAUCCGGAACUGUCAGGCUAGAGUGCAGGAGAGGAAGGUAGAAUUCCCGGUGUAGCGGUGAAAUGCGUAGAGAUCGGGAGGAAUACCAGUGGCGAAGGCGGCCUUCUGGACUGACACUGACGCUGAGGUGCGAAAGCGUGGGUAGCAAACAGGAUUAAUACCCCAGUAGUC